CAAGGAGGGUGGAGACAAUCUGCUGAUUGAGAGAGAGGGAGCCAAUGAGAAACAGAGGAACCACUGCCCACCCAGAGUGCUUUGGGGUAGUGGGGUGGGACUAGUCUCUAUAGCCUAUAAAAUCCGCAGUGUGCGCCUCAGUGCUGUUUGGUUGGGGUGGUUGUGGCUGCUGAAGGUUUCUCAGGGUUGGAGUAGGGAAAGCAGAUUAAUAAGCCUAGAGGGUAGGGUAUAAAGCUUCCUUUUGUUUCAGAAGAGAAAACUCUGGGAAUAGGGGUGUAGGGCUCGCUGUCUCCACACACCAGUCUCGGUUAGUGCUGUUCUGUGUGGAUUUUCUCUUCUGUUUUCUUCACAGAUAGUCCUGGGGUCAUAAGAACACAAACCCUGCCUCUUUCUCCCAGGGAUUUUCUUUUUUUUCCCUUCUCUGCUUGCUUUCUUACAUCUGAAAAGCCUCUGUGUGUGACUUAAAACAGUACCGAUUUACUAACGUUCUGGAGGUCAGAAGUGUGAAAAAAGGGUCUCUAAAAAACUAAAAUCAAGGUGUUGGUAAAGCUGUGAUUCCUUCUAGAGGCUUUUGGAGAGAAUUUUCUUGAGAGACUGUCUGAAUUCCUUGGCUCAAGGCCCCACAUCAACCUUUGUGUAAAAAUCUUUCUUCAGGGGUUUUCUUUUACCAAUUUGAAGCCUUAAAAAAUCCUGGUACGUAAAACAGCUAUAGUUUCUUUGGGAAGCUGUCUUUUUCUCCCAGGAAAGAUCUUUCUGGGAGUGGGUUAUUCCAGGGACUAACGGCCUAUAUCAACAGGCAGAAGGGAUGGAGGGAAACUAUCUCUGCCUAGCUCCACGGGUAUGAACUCUAAGCUCACAUGAAGAGCAUGGGACCCUGAGUUGGAGUAUAUGCACUGAAGGGGGUGACUUUUCUCCCCAAAGCCAAAAACUCAAACUUCAGCAAGCAGUGACUCAGCAUUAGCCCUUCCUGUGAUAGGGUGAUGAAGCUUUCCUGCUCAAACGUGUUUUCAAACAACCUGUGGCCUGGCUUCUGUGGUCAGGUCUCAGAGGUGAGGCACUCCCACUUGUUUUCCUUAAGCAUCCUAAAGUUUUUCCUCUGGGAAUAGGGUACUACAGAGUAGACUUGUUAUUGGCAAAUCCAGCACAGAUGUGAACUCAAAUCUGGCAAAAACUAUAAAUGUUUGGGGACUCAUGGAUUUCCCCAGCUGAAAAGAAUAUCAGUAUAAGUUGAACUGGGACAGCAGGUCAUAAUUAAGCUAUCAGCCCUUGGAGAUGGUUUUCUCCUAUAGUCUGUGCUGUUCAAAUCCUCCUGGGGAGGGCGAGGAUCCACUCUAGGGGAGCGCCCAAGUAGAAACUGGACUGACUAGAGUUUCUCUAAUAGGAUCAUAGGUAAAGGGCUCCUGGGGGCUCCCUGCUGGCAUAGGUCUAGAUUGUAGGUCCUCGCUCACAUGAAGAGUAGCUUAUAGAGCCUGUAUCAACUGUGGUGACUGUGUGGAAGGGCUCAGUAUUAAACUCCAACUGGCAGAAGGCUCUAGAGAAGCAAGGCAAGUCCUAAGUGUUCAGAAGAACUCUAGGCGAGUGAGCAGGCAACUGACCACAUGGGCUGGCCUGAAAAGUGGGAGAACCUGGGGCCAAGAUGCAGUUCAACCUGCUGAAGUGGGAAACGAGUGGGUGGUGCUGACCUUACCUGAUAACUGGGCAUGACCAGUUGAUGUGGAGUUCGUCCAGCUGAACCAGUUUUGGGUCAAACUUGGUGAGGGCUUACCCAUCAGUUUCUAAAGCAGCUCCUCUGAAGACAAAGCUUCCAUCGAAAUUGUUGACCUUGGAGGUGGGAGUGUUGGGGUUCGGAAUCUGCUUUCAGGUCUUUCUAUGGAGCCACUUGACGAGAGCCUUGGUCUCAUGGAAAGACCUUCAUAGUCAUGUGGUAUGACAGGAUACGGGCUGGAGCUCACCUGGGUUCUUUCCCUGGCUCUGUCACUUACUAGCUCUGAGAACCUGGGCAAGUUACCAAUCUCUGGGAAACUGGCUUAAACAGAUCCUGUGGCGAUAGGAGACUGUAGACCAGUACCCAUCAUGGUGUGUGCUUAAUACAUUCUAGCUGCUGCUCCAUAGACUGCCUCACAGAGUUAGUGCAGGGCUCAUGGGGUUCUGUGCCACAAGCGUCUUACUUGGCACCUUCUUCCCUGUAGCAUGAAACUCCUGUUGUAUGUUAUAACCUUCCUGUAGCCUGGCAGACUCUCUGAAUCCAACUUGGUACCUCAUGCUUGCGUAGCUCCCUCCCCUACCCAGGCAGAUUAUCCAGAUUGUAUGGGUUUGUUCUUGUCCUGAAAAAUUGCUUCAAAUGCCACAUCUUAAGGUCUGGAUGAAAGUUACUUGUUAACGGUUCAGGGUUCAAAGUAUAGCUGACUUUCUAACACGGUCAGAGCUGGGCCAGCUAAUCUGAAAGCUUUUUCUGCCCUAAAGACUGAAAGCAGGGGGACCAAUAGAAUCUUGAUCUUCUAGAUUGAAGUGUCUUUGCUGGAUUCCUUGUUGACAAGGAAUUAGGACCUCUAUAGAGAGGCUAGAGUCUUACAAGUACCGCUGGCUACAACCUGAGUUCUUAACCUCAGUGGUGUGUAGCCAGAGCUAUAGCUUUAUCUCGUAAUAAGCCAGGAACUCAUUCAGCCCUAGCACUCGGUUUAGUGCCAAGUCCCUGGGGGAGGCAAAAGGAUGAUGGGCACAUGGUGGGAGCUUAAACCCAGUCUGAUAUGUGCCAGAGCCUAUGAAAGGGCCUGGGUAUUGUGCAAUAGUCUGGGCCAUCACUCAGAACCAACUUUGCCUAGGUGACACUGGGCUCUCUGCCAGGUCAUGAUGUGCACACAGUCACACAUUAUAGUCCUGUGUGUGGGGGUGGGGGCGGUCCUAGCUUUACUCAGCUGGCAGCCAGGUAGGAGUGUGCUAAGUAAGUGUCGACACAGGGCUGCCAGCUGUUGCUGCUACUGGACUGUUAAGUCCAACUGCUUGUCUGGACUUUCUGUAUUCUAUUUCCUUCAUACCAGGGGACUCCUGAGUGGAAAGGAAGAUGGUCCAGAACUAGGCAGAAUCUAGACUGUAGAUUAGCCAUAGGGAAGCUGCUCAUGACAAAGCUUGGCUCCCAGGCUCUCGAAAUUGGCUCACCACAUUCUUUUGCCAUGGAGGGUCUUAAAACUGAAAGGUUGAGGUCACAGACCUCGGGCACAUACUGCUUGAGCCUGGUUUCAGCCUUUUAUUUCUCAUGUCUUGAAUAAGUUGCUUAAAUUCUCUAAGCAUCUGACCUGUUACAAUGGGUGAGCUAAAAAGCUAACUGAGCUAUGAGGUUUCGGUGAUGAUCAUGGGAAGUUUGACUUACUGCCAGUCCUAUGACUACACACAGGCCAGUACUCAUUUACCUGCCCAAGUCGAUGGAUACCUGUUCCAUCCAAGGUUGUUUGAAAGGCUUCUCUCCUCUGCAUAGCUCCUUAUUUAGUGUAAUCUACCCUCAAGCCUUACCUUGGCAGCCUCUCCCUCUUCCAAGUUGGUUCCUGGGGUCUCCUCUCUAUCACUAAACUAUAUAGCCUUUGUUGUAGCUCAGGCUUAUCCUGGGGCCAGUGGUGGGUGACAGGUAGUGGGGGUUCAUUAGCUAGGUCCUCAAGCUCAGGCCUCCUGGCAGGAAGAACAGAAGCCACUCCUUGAGGAAUAAGGGAACCUCCCUGCUUGUGCCCCAGGGGAGAAGGCCCUCUUGAGGGCAGCUCUGGUUUCUAGAGCUGGACUCGUGUCAUAAGCCAUGGGCCUCUACAGAGAUGGCCUGGGCUCUGAACACUUGACUCCCUGUUCUCUGGCCCAUCAGGCUCCAUCGGCCUGGGGCAGACUUUGGACCAGCUCAUAGCGUGUCUAGUCUGAUAUUACAAGUGGUGGCCCUAUGGCAGCCCCAACUGUGUUAGGGUGACUUGAAGAAAUAUAGAUUUGAAUGACAGUCUCAGACUAAAAGGAAGCCCUGGGUGGGGAGAUAGGCUUCACAACAUUGAAUUGUUUGUUCUGCUUUAAACUAAAGACCAUCAGUUUUUUUUUUAACUUUACAAUAUUGUAUUGGUUUUGCCAUAUAUCAACAGGAAUCCGCCACAGGUAUACGUGUGUUCCCCAUCCUGAACCCUCCUCCCUCCUGCCUCCCCAUACCAUCCCUCUGGGUCAUCCCAGUGCACUAGCCCCAAGCAUCCAGUAUCAUGCAUUGAACUUGGACUGGCGACUACAUUUCAUAUAUAAUACAUGUUUCAGUGCCAUUCUUCAGGGAACUUGAGGUGAAAGGCAAACUGAAACCUUGCUCUUGUUUCACUAUCAAUCGUCCCUGGGUUCCUCUCACCCCUCUGGGAUGUCCCAGUGACCUUCUUUGGGGACAGGAAGGCUAUUUCAACCACUUCCAGAGACCCAAGGGUCUUAACCACUACAGACUCUUCCGGAACUUGCUUUAAAUCUUCACAACCCCUUCACUUAACAGUCAGCAUCUGAAUUUCUCUUUAGUGUGGGAGUCCUUCAGUUGUAACUCUUUGCCACCCCCAUGGACUGGAGCCCACCUGGCUCCUCUGUCUCUGGAAUUCUCCAGGCAAGAAUACUGGAGUGUGUAGCUAUUCUUGUCUCCAGGGGAUCAUCUCGACCCAGGGGUGCAACCCAGGUCUCCUGCACUGCACGGGUAGAUUCUUUACCAUCUGAGCCACCAGGGAAGUGGGGAAAACCUAAUUGGUAGAAGGAAAAUCUUUAAGAGUAAAGGGUUUCUGCUUUUACUUCCUCAAUUCAAGAUGAGAAUCCCAGGGAAGCUUGAGAUCCUGCAGAUCUGUCCAUACUCCUAACUUCAGAAUGAGUUUGUUUUCCUAUAAAGUCUUUUUUAAAAAAAUAUCAAUCUCCCAAUUACUUUCCUUUUUUGGAAAGGAGCACUUUGUAUCAAGGAUGUUGCAGUUUUUCUGCCCAUUUUAGACUAUCUUGUAAGUUAAAGACUUGCUUCAUACCUAGUUGGCCAAUGGCCCUCCUCAGGGCCCCUGGAAUUUCCUAAAAAGGCCUUCCUUGCUUCAAUAAUAGAAUGGAACAGGACUUCAGGUUUCCAUCCCUUGAAAUAUUAACACAAAGGGAAUCUUGUUCUAAGCCAGUACAAAAGAUUUCAAUGAAAUGUCCCUGAUUGUCACCCUCUUUGCUGACUUGAGAUACUCUUAUUCUAAGUUAACCUAACUCUGACUCUCUGCCCCCAAAUGAAAAGAGCUUGGAAAGUUGACUUUUGCUGUAAGGAGAGGAGUGAGGAACGAAAUGAAUCAACAACUUUUAGAUCAGAGGCUUGAAAUCACAGGACAAAAUUCUGUCCUGAAAACUGGAGAGACAGAAAAACCAGUGAGUAACCAGCAGAAUCGCUUACAGGGUAACAAACCAGUGGAGGCAUCUGUAGACUUACCUUGAAGGGUAAGCAUUAAAGGACCCAGUUCUAGGGGGCUCCCUGCUUUCAUGAGUUUUCUCUCCCAGGUUUGGGGUGUUGGGUAUGGAGGAAAAGGGUCUGAGGUUUUCAAGAGAAGUAUCUUGCCUGACAGAACAAUCUCCUGGAGAUCUGCUCUACCUAGCUAGAAAAGAGACACAAACACUGCCCUCAAGCAGGAAAGAAGGGUAGAAAAUUAAUGUCAGCUUGAGUCCACGGGUCCCACCUGACCCUGUUCAUUGCAUAUGGCUGGAGGUGGGAGGGCAGGUGGGAUCUGUGAGGGGCACUAUAGGAACUGGCUCCAAGCUCUUUCAGGACUGAGUGCACUUCUGGCUGUGGGGUUCUUCCUCUGGUGCUUUGUUGGGAAGUCAGUCCUAUUUUUCAUCUCCAGCCAGGGAGUUUCAUGUUGCAGCCUGCCUCGCUUCAUGUGGAGAGCAGCAGUGAAGCUUCAGAUCUUCAGCAGUGCCAUGGUCUAGUGUUGCUCGAGUAAUCUCGUAUGCCUGCUCCCCAGUUGCUACUGUUUGGGUCCAAUCCUCAGUCUCAUGAGCAUCAUUGUUGCUUAAGGACCUAUGUGCACACUCAGAAGGACUCCCCCUCAUCCAUCCGGCAUUAGACAUGACAACUUCUGAGAAACUACCUUGGGAUAUACCACAAGUGAGAGAUGGGAGUAUCUGUUCUGUUUUGUAUUGAGCUGGAAAAAUUUGUUCUAGCGAUCUCUCCUCUGGCUUAAUGAGCUAUUUGCACCUUUUACAUAACCACUUAGAAAUGAAGAUACAGAUGAUCUAAUUAACAAGAGGCAAACAUUCAUGCUGACUGGCAGGAGUGUCAGUCCCACCUCCUGGGCUAACUGCUAAAGUGGGUUGAUUGUCAACAUUCUCUGUGAUAGGACCUCCUCCUGGCAUGCUCACAGCAAUGCCAAUGGCCCUCGUUGAGGGGCAGCAUGUGAGGAGAACCUGCUGAUCUGUCAAAGGAGUGGGAGGUGUAAGGUGCUGGAGCUGGAAGCACUGUGGGGAGAAGGUACUAAAGGGUCUCUCAUCUCUUGCUAAAUUGAACAGGAUGAAGGUUGUGCUUGGAAUUGGUUCAUAAUCGAGCUACCCAGAUCCAACUACAAGUAACUCAGUACAACCCCUGGAGUUGGAUAAGCAGCAGAGAAGGCAGUCUUGUGGGUGCAAUGGGGUUAAAGAGGCAACGUGAGGUGUCCUAGUGGAAGGAAUGCCCUCUCCAAAGAAGCAGUAUCAGAUGGCAGGGUUUAACAGGUAGAGUUAAUCAGAGCAGAAGCCAAGAGCAGGAUAUGUGGUGAGAGGAAGACUCGAGGAUAAAGGCUUCAGCAGAGGCUGUAACAACCCAAGGGCCUCAGAUACCCCUUACCAUGGCUGUGCAGGGGCUGACCGGCCAAGAUUCUGCUACGAGAAAUGGGGCAUACACUAGUCAUAAACAUUUACACCAUCAAAAGGCAUAUCUUGUUAGAGAUGCUUUCAGGUGAGACCAGACCUAGCUCUUCAAAACGGGGGGCUUCUCUGUACCUACUCUGCCAGUCUGGGGAUGCUGGGAAGUUGCGUUUGGAGAGAGAAUGCCCCAGGCUCCUAUCACCCGCUCCAGCUGUGUUUGCAAAUGGUCCCUGCUAACUUGACCAGUUAUUUACAUCUUAGCCUCUACCCAAUAUCUCUGGUCUUCUGGACUGUGUAUAUUUUCCCUUUGUUCAGAUCCACCAUUGUUUCAAACUUGAAGUUCUGAGACUAGAAAGUUGACAGGAACUAGGAAGUAACACUAAUAGUAACUAUUUGAAGCUGGUUUAUGAGCUUUCUGAGAUUCUUUGAAACUAGCUCUAUCUGGACAGAUGUUUAGGACCGGCCACCUUCCUAUGAGCUCCUCCAAACUAGAUAUCCCAUGGACUUGUUAGUAUGCUUUCUUAUAGUAGGUGAAACCCUAAGAAACUCAACCUGCUGAGAACCCUUCUAGAAAUUUCAUUCUGACCUCACCCUGAGGCACUCAGCUCUGUUAAAAGCAGCCUACGUGCAUGCCUAAUAGAUAACUCACCAGCCUGCAGCUUCAAGACUAUUAAGUAGCAAUUUAAUAGAUCUAGCUCUAAGUCUUAUGGCUGAAGCUUUAACUUUCAUAUGAAAUUCAAGGGGAAAGAUUUAAUAUUGCCACUGUCAAAGUCUUGAAUUGCAUAGGAGUUGGGUAACUGGGCUGUUAAUGCCUACUCAGGCUUAUAAGCAACUCCGUGCAGACUUACAUAAGAGACUUCUCUUUUGUGAUUAAAGAGAAUAUUCAUCAGCUACUUAGUCGUGCUCAGGAUUCCAGAAUGUCUGGCAGUGAAAUUCUGCAGUGUAGGGCCCUAGUGGGGUGACAGUGUGAGUUUGGAGUCUGGAGGGUUGAAGCAUUUCAUGCUGAAGUGAACACCACUAACAGACCUUGUAGUUAGUAGUUCCAUCAAGUAAUGUCAAGGUGGACUUGUUUGGAGAAUCCUUUAAUGUGUACAUGUGUAUGUCUUUCUCCAGAGCCUGCUGCCUUGAAAUGACUGGAUAGACUUAGUUCCUCUUCACUUGCUCACCACCAACCACCAUCUCACUUGCUUUAAGACAAUACCUCUGAAGUUUCUAUGGGGUGUGCUUUUAUCAAAUGUCUGUUUCCAACUCCUGCUGUUAAGUUCCACAAAGGCUUAACCCUCUUUUCAAGAGACAUUUUCAGGUCUAAGAUGUGGGGAAGGAACUGGGUCAGACCUGGGUAACAAAGUACAUGGGAGAAGUGAGAGGUCUGGGCAGACUCCGUUCUCCUUGUUGGAAAAGUGCUGGAAUUUAACUUAUGAUUCUUGAGGUGCUUCAGACUUGGUCCUUUUGCUGCAAGUUUUCACUUUCAUCUCAGGUUCAAAGGAUUUGUUAACAAAAUAAGCCAUUCAUUAUAUACAAAUAAUACCAAUAUUAGAGAAUUAUCUAGCUUACUUUCAAUAUACUAACAUUAAAGGAAAUAGAGGAUGCAUCACCAAAUUGGGUUUUGACCAACAUCCAGACUCAAAUAGUGCUGAGAAGUCCCAUGACACAUCACAUCUGGAGUCCCAGUUGGGGACAGGCCUCCACAGUGUCUGCUCUGCGGGUGAGACUUCAAAAAUUGCAGUUUGGGGUUCCUGCUUAUAAUCUCAGGAUGCAAACUGAUAGUCAGUCUGUGAGCACAUUGCAGCUCUGGCUUGGUGUUAAUGCUGUUGGUUCUGUCAUGUAAAACUUGAAAUGUUAAGCCUAGGGCUUGGUUGGCUGGACAUCCUCCAGGCCUCAGUCUAAGAUUUUUCCCUUAUCUUGUCUAUGGUGCUGCCAGGCUUGUACUCACGGCAGGCAGUCAGGGCAGUGUCCACGCAGCAUAGAAGCAAGGUCAGAGGCCUGUUCUUUGUCUCUGAAGCCUAAAUAAGACUAGUUUCCCUAACGGUUCUAUCUUCCUAAAACUUACCCCUUAUAAACUUGAUGUGACUGUGUGUGACAAGUCCCUGAGCAGUGGUAGGCAACCAUUGUGGUGUUCAGUCACCCAGCUGUGUCCAACUCUUUGUGACCUCAUAGACUGUAGCACACCAGGCCUCUGUCCCUCACCAUCUCCCAAAAGUUUGCCCAAGUUCAUGUCCAUUGCAUCGGUGAUGCCAUCCAACCAUCUCAUCCUCUGAUAUCCUCUUCUCCUGCCCUCGAUUUUUCCCAGCAUCAGGGACUUUUCCUAUGAGUUGCCUAUUUGUAUCAAUGACCAAAA